UACGGAGGGUGCAAGCGUUAUCCGGAUUUACUGGGUUUAAAGGGUGUGUAGGCGGCCCCGCAAGUCGGCCGUGAAAUCUCCGGGCUCAACUCGGAGGGGUCGGGCGAGACUGCGGGGCUCGAGGUGGGCAGAGGGCAGUGGAAUUCCGGGUGUAGUGGUGGAAUGCGUAGAGAUCCGGAGGAACACCAGUGGCGAAGGCGGCUGCCUGGGCCUGGCCUGACGCUGAGGCGCGAAAGCGUGGGGAGCAAGCCGG
rnacentral:rRNA from 1 species